rnacentral:rRNA from 1 species
GACGAACGCUGGCGGCGUGCUUAACACAUGCAAGUCGAACGGAAAGGCCCUGCUUGCAGGGUACUCGAGUGGCGAACGGGUGAGUAACACGUGGGUGAUCUGCCCUGCACUUCGGGAUAAGCCUGGGAAACUGGGUCUAAUACCGGAUAGGAGCCAUUUUUAGUGUGAUGGUUGGAAAGUUUUUUCGGUGUAGGAUGAGCUCGCGGCCUAUCAGCUUGUUGGUGGGGUAAUGGCCUACCAAGGCGGCGACGGGUAGCCGGCCGGAGAGGGUGGACGGCCACAUUGGGACUGAGAUACGGCCCAGACUCCUACGGGAGGCAGCAGGGGGGAAUAUUGCACAAUGGGCGCAAGCCUGAUGCAGCGACGCCGCGUGGGGGAUGACGGCCUUCGGGUUGUAAACUCCUUUCGCUAGGGACGAAGCUUUUUGUGACGGUACCUAGAUAAGAAGCACCGGCUAACUACGUG